AGAGUUUGAUCCUGGCUCAGGACGAACGCUGGCGGCGUGCUUAACACAUGCAAGUCGAACGAUGAUGCUUGGUGCUUGCACUGGGUGGAUUAGUGGCGAACGGGUGAGUAAUACGUGAGUAACCUGCCCCUGUCUUUGGGAUAAGCCUGGGAAACUGGGUCUAAUACUGGAUAUUCUGCUUGAACCGCAUGGUUUUUGUUGGAAAGAUUUUUCGGAUGGGGAUGGGCUCACGGCCUAUCAGCUUGUUGGUGGGGUGAUGGCCUACCAAGGCGUCGACGGGUAGCCGGCCUGAGAGGGUGACCGGCCACAUUGGGACUGAGAUACGGCCCAGACUCCUACGGGAGGCAGCAGUGGGGAAUAUUGCACAAUGGACGCAAGUCUGAUGCAGCGACGCCGCGUGGGGGAUGAAGGCUUUCGGGUUGUAAACUCCUUUCAGUACAGAAGAAGCGAAAGUGACGGUAUGUGCAGAAGAAGCACCGGCUAACUACGUGCCAGCAGCCGCGGUAAUACGUAGGGUGCGAGCGUUGUCCGGAAUUAUUGGGCGUAAAGAGCUCGUAGGCGGUUUGUUGCGCCUGCUGUGAAAACCUGGGGCUUAACUUCGGGAUUGCAGUGGGUACGGGCAGACUAGAGUGUGGUAGGGGUAAUUGGAAUUCCUGGUGUAGCGGUGGAAUGCGCAGAUAUCAGGAGGAACACCGAUGGCGAAGGCAGGUUACUGGGCCACCACUGACGCUGAGGAGCGAAAGCGUGGGUAGCGAACAGGAUUAGAUACCCUGGUAGUCCACGCCGUAAACGUUGGGCACUAGGUGUGGGGCCUUUCCAUGGGUUCUGCGCCGUAGCUAACGCAUUAAGUGCCCCGCCUGGGG
rnacentral:rRNA from 1 species